UACGGAGGGUGCAAGCGUUAAUCGGAAUUACUGGGCGUAAAGCGUGCGCAGGCGGUUCGUUAAGUUCGAUGUGAAAGCCCCGGGCUCAACCUGGGAACUGCAUUGGAAACUGGCGAGCUUGAAUGCGGCAGAGGGGGGUGGAAUUCCGCGUGUAGCAGUGAAAUGCGUAGAGAUGCGGAGGAACACCGAUGGCGAAGGCAGCCCCCUGGGCCGACAUUGACGCUCAGGCACGAAAGCGUGGGGAGCAAACAGG
rnacentral:rRNA from 1 species